rnacentral:lncRNA from 1 species
UCAUGAAAGCUGCUUAAUUGAAGGUCAUCCUCAGCAUGAUUUGAGCUGUCCUGCUACAGGUCUGACCAACGGCCAGACUCUUCCCCUUGUAUCCCUCUGCCCCCAAGGAUCUCAUUUGCCUAUUUUAGAUUUUUCACAUCAUCUAAUUGUGAUGGUUAAUAGUAAGUGUCAACUUGAUUGGACUGAAGGAUGCAAAGUAUUGUUUCUGGGUGUAUUUGGGUGUCUCUGGGUGUUGCCAGAAGAGAUUAACAUUAGAGUUGGUGGACUGGGGGAGGAAGACCUACCCUCCCAAAGACCCACCCACAGUGUGGGUGGGCACCAUCCAAUUGGCUGCCAGCGCGGCUAGAAAAAGGGGGCAGAAGAAGGUGGAAGAAGCUUCCGGCCUUCAUCUUUCUCCUGUGCUGGAUGCUUCUUGUCCUCAAACAUCAGACUCCAAUUUCUUCGGCUUUUGGACUCUUUAGACUUACACCAGUGGUUUGCCAGGGGCUCUUGGGCCUUUGGCCAUAGACUGAAGGCUGCAAUUGUCGGCUUCCCCACUUCUAAGGUUUGGGGAUUCGGGCUGAGUCACUGCUGGCUUUGUUGCUCCUUAACUUGCAGACGGCCUAUUGUGGGACUUCACCUUGUGAUCGUGAGUCAGUUCUGCUUAAUAAACUCCCUUUCAUGUAUACAUAUAUCCUAUUAGUUCUAUCCCUCUAGAGAACCCUGACUGAUACACUAAUAAUAACUUAGAUACCAUUGUAAGAGAUUUUCUUACAAUGACCAUCUUUUCCAAGUAUCUUGAAAUAUACUCCUUUGCCUCCAAAUUUAUUUAUAUCUCUUGUAAUAAGAUUUCCAGAAAAACAGGGUGAAAUUAGAAAUUGCUCCAUCCCUUAAACUCAGUUCAAUGCAAUUUAAUAUAUACCAGCACUUACUAUGUAAAAGACAUUUACUAAGCAUUAAGGAUAGAGAGCUGAAUUAAGUAAUAGUCUCAGCAGCAAAAUGCAGAAACUGUUUUACAGAGGUCACAUUUCAGCCUCCAUCCAGUGACUGUUAGGAUAUUUCAAGUUACCAAAGAGGAAAAAAAGUUGUUUUUGAAUUUGGUGGUGUAAGUAGUCACCCAUGAGGCUGAGGGUCCAGGGCGUACUCCUCUCAUCACCACUGACCUCACGCUCAUUCCACAUAGACAUUUUACAGUCAAGGAAAAGUUACCUGGAACCUGAUACAAAGACAAGAUGUUCUCAGAGAAGAACGAACAAAUGCCAUGCUUACUGAUCAGGGUAACAGUUGAAAACACGGGGCAUGAGUUCUGUAUUUCAUAAAGCUGCAGGAUCCAAACACUUCUCACUAGCAGCCAACCAAAGACACUGGGGAUGAGUAAUGAGUAUACACUACUCAUUCUAAGGUUGGGAAUUUCUCGUGAUUGACUGACACUCCAUCAUGUCUCUCUAGAAGUAUUUCUAUUGGACCAGGCAUGGUAGACAUGAUAGACAAAUACUAUGGGUAGUGGUGGUAGUUGUUUUUGAGACAGGCUUUUGCUCUGUUGCCCAGACUGGAGUGCAGUGGCAUGAUCAUGGCUCACUGCAGCCUCAGCCUGCCAGGCCCAUGUGAUCCUCCUGCCUCAGCCUCUUGAGUAGCUGGGACUACAGGCACAUGCCACCACACCCAUCAAAUUGUUGUAUUUUUUUGUAGAGAAGAGAUCUUACUAGGUUGCUAAGGCUGGUCUUGGACUCCUGAGCUGAAGCCAUCCUCCCGCUUCAGCCUCCCAAAGUGCUAGGAUUACAGACAUGAGCCACAGCACCCAGCGGCUUUGUUUUUUUUGAAUCUUAAUGAUAAUAUUGGGAGUUUAUGAUCACUUAACUGUUCUACACAAGUUGCAUGUAUUAUCUCACUUAAUCUUCACAACAACAUUGAGGAGGCAUCCCAGGACCUAAUGGAAAUUCACAGCCAGAGGAGGGUUACUGGUCUACGUUUUACGUAAUGUUCAUCUUACCACAGGGACUCACUGUGGGCAGAAUACAGCAUGCCAUUUCACCCAGAGUCCUCUAAGAAUAGCAUCGAUGUUGAAGUGACAAAAUGGAGUUUCCACUCGGGGUGGCAAAUGGAGAGGAGCUUCUAGCAACAUGUUCUGGGGCACUCUGUGCUCACCAGGUUGCAAGUUGUUCUGAGGAUUACAGGCAGAGGUUUUCGUGAUGGUGGCAACCCACUGGAAAAAAUUCCUAGGCCAGGGAUGUCUCUCCCCAGGAUCACCAAUUGGUAGGACCUAACUAGAAGCCAGGUGAAAUUUGGGAGAAGUCACUUGCAAGGUCCUGGCACCCUGACCAUACGUAAUCAUAGAACACAGACGGGUGAGAAUGGCGGCUGAAAGCUUUGAGAGCUAACUAGCAAAUGACUGACAGUUGCAAUUCAUUAAGGCCUCUUCUGACACCACUCCAGCAGGGUAAGGGGUCAAGCUAUCUCUUUACUGCCAGAUGAUGGUAGAAGUCCAGCUUCUCUACUUUACCUCCACUGACAUCCAGAGAAUUUCUUGUUACUGCUGGGAGUGAAUAAGAGUUUAGACUUCCCAGUAGGCUUCCACUGAUAUCACCUGCCUGGGAGAGGAUGGGACACAAUCACAGUGAGAAGUGAGGAACGGGGAGUCCAAGCUCCCCACAUGGUCUUCACUAAUGGAAAUGGUGGAUUGGGAUGGAUUGGGAUACCUCAUUAGAGCCUGGCCAAGAUGGAAGAAUAAGCUUUCUACUCGGCCUUUGCUGGUGGGGCAUGGGAUAAGAUCAGAGUUUUUCUGUGAUGUUUGGCUAGAGUAGUGCAGGUACUAUCUGUCAUAGGUUGAACUGUGUCAUCCCCAGACUCACAUAUUUAAGUCCUAACCCCCAGAAACUCAGGACGUGACUUUAUAUGGAGAUAGAGUCUUUACAGAAGUCAUCAGUUAAAAUGAGGUCAUGAGGGUUGGCCCUAGUCCAACAUAACUGGCAUCCCUAUAAACAGAGGAAAUCUGGACACAGACAUGCAUGGAGGAAAGAUGGUGUGAAGAGACGUAGUAGAAGAUGGCCAUCUAUAAGCCACAGAGACAUCUGGAAAGAUCCCUUCCUCACAACCCUGAGAAGUAACAAACCUGCCAACACCAUGAUGGUAUAAGACAUCCAGCCUCCGGAACUGACAAUAAACUUGCAUAGUCUAAGUUAAUCAGUCCACAGGACUUUGUUACAGCAGCACUAGCAAACUAAUAUCCUGACUCAAAGUUUUCCAUCCUGCUAGGCUAUUCCUUCCCUGGUCCUCUGGCUGGAGAGCAAAGGCUUUACCUGGGUCCUUUUUUGUGUGUGCUCAUUGAAAUUUCCAGGUUGCCAGCUUCUCUGAUACCCAGUCCGGGAUACAUGGAAAGCAGCAAACACCCAGGAGACUGAUCACUGUGUCCUUUCUUGGAUACCAAGGUCACUACCUAGUCUACCUUCUUCUUUCCACCUUUAUAACAGAAAGAAUUAGCUGAACUUAGUGGGAUGAAUAGAUAAAAAUGACUAUUUCAUCUUUCCAGAAGUGGAAGUUCACAAUGUGUCUUUUUAUUUGUUUGUUUGUUUUUGAGACAGAGUCUCACUCUGUUGCCCAGGCUGGAGUGUAGUGACAUGAUCUCGGCUCACUGCAACCUCCACCUCCCAAGUUCAAG